rnacentral:rRNA from 1 species
UACGUAGGUGGCAAGCGUUGUCCGGAAUUAUUGGGCGUAAAGCGCGCGCAGGCGGUCUUUUAAGUCUGAUGUGAAAUCUUGCGGCUCAACCGCAAGCGGUCAUUGGAAACUGGGGGACUUGAGUGCAGAAGAGGAAAGCGGAAUUCCACGUGUAGCGGUGAAAUGCGUAGAGAUGUGGAGGAACACCAGUGGCGAAGGCGGCUUUCUGGUCUGUAACUGACGCUGAGGCGCGAAAGCGUGGGGAGCAAACAGG